GCCCAUUAGGCCUGGCCCACUAUCUAUAUGUAUAUAAUAGUCCUUAGGGACUGGGUAAUUAUCUAUCAAUUCUCAGGUUUGUAACAGGGAUCUCGUUUGGAUAUUGAUUCAAAAUUGGAGUGAAUAAUGUUCCUAUUGACAAAAUAGAUAGAAGAUAUGAAACAAAUAACUCCAAGGUUAACCUUCAACUAUUUUGAUAUACUAAAGAUGCGAAAGGGCCUCUAGCUGAGUUGGUUAAGUGGUCUGAGUAGCACUCCUUAGGUCCUAGGUUUGACUCUUCAUGGAAGUGAAUUUCAGGUCGAGGUUAAAACAAGUCACUCGCUGGUUUCCUUGGUUGGCAUGGGUGGACCGACCUAUGGUAGACGGGCCCUCAUGUAAGGGGCUGGUCGUGUGGGUUAGGCCCCAAAGCACGGGUCAAGGCCCGAACCAUAGGGGGCAACAUCACCAUGUAUGAGGGUGCUAGCUUUUCUCGAUCAGGCUCCCGUUGAUCUUUUCUUAGUGAAAUAGUGUGGGGCGGUCUUUCCCCCACCGGCCGAGUUUUGAUAUACUGAAGAUAUUUGGAUAUCAACAUAUUUGGUAUCCUUGUUGGUUCCUAGCAAGCUUUCCAGGAACAAGGAGCCAAGUUGGCUCCCUUUCUACAGAAAUAUUAUUGCUACUCAUCAAGGAUUAGAUGAGGGAUUCCUCUUUUGAAAUCUUGCAAAGAAAGAAUGAAAUAGUCAAUAUUACAUAAUGACUUCUUGCUCCAUCAAGAGUGUGGCAAAGCACCUUGGUUUGUUUUCAAGUUGGAAAGUUAAGCCACAUCGCUUUGGCGUCGACUAGUUGUAUACUUGUCCUAUCAUGAUUAGACAAUGACUAGCCAUGAUUUAUCGAUGAGUACAAAUCUGGAGAGCACAUCUCUUCAUUUUGGGAGAAAGAUUACUUGGAAAUGGCAGUGAAGCAUCACCACUAACAAUUACAGCCCAAUGUCUAAAACACAAUUGACUUCAAGAUUGGGAAAGAGAAAAACUUUGACGCUCAAAGUCAUUGCAGCCCAAUGCCUAAUCAACUCCCGAUGAAAAUUAAGCAUCUAGCUUGCCUCUAGCCCUCUCUAGGCCAUGUUAUUAUGUUGAUUCGCAAGUGCUAUUUUUUGACGUCUAAUCACUAACAUAUCAAUGAUUAGAAGAGGAUCUGGUAUCAUCUUGCUCAUUUUGCAUGGCCAUCUAAAAACUAAUCAAGCUACAACUACAAGGAAUACAACAAGGGAGGAUAGAACAUUUGAGGUGCACUCAUGACUCGUCAAACCUACUAGCCCAACAAAGUAACCGAGUAUAGACAAAAAAUGCAUAAGCCCUAAUGGUAUGGUUGGGGGAAUAGGAGUUUAGAAAUACAUAGUUUGAAAUCUCUCGUUUAUUUUGUGGCAGUGGGAGGGACUGUUAGGGCACAAACGACAUGUGGUUUUACCAUCUAUUUAGGUUAAAUUAACCACAAUUACCUUGCUAAAUGAGGAUACGGAAAGCCUAUCAUUGUCUCACGAGGCAAUGAGCCUAGCUCGUGCUCCCAGAGACUUUCACCGACGUUGUGUGAGCGAGCGUCAUUAGUGCAAGAUCGAGUGCAGGCGCAAUGGCAGCAAAUUGUUCCUCUCACUCGCGAAAGCUUCCAUGUAGAUGCAUGUUUUGCCAAUGGCAACCAUUGUUAAUACAGAAGGGCACAAGGUUGUGGCCAUGAGCUGAUAGGGUGAUGGUGACACAAACAUAAGCAGAUAUACGGCGCAAGGUGAUAUAUCUACCCUUAGUGUUACAUAGAAUAGGGUCUAUGGAACUAGGUCCCACUAGUCACUUCUCUUACCAAAUAGAAGAUGGAUACAUCCACAUUGUUAUUUGUGAUUAGAUGCAUGCCCUACCCAUCAGUUGCCAAAUGCACCAUAAGGCUCCCCAUUACCAAUUAUUGUGUUUGGUUGCCAAAGAAAUUACAGAAUAAUAAUCACAUGAAAAUUCUAGAUCAUGUUUGAUUGCAAAAGAAAUUGAAGUUGCCAUUGAUUCACACAUCUUGUUCAUAUUCCGUUCGGCUUCUCUCCGGCCAUUGUCGUCGUCGCCACCAUGGCAGGGACCAUGAUCAUUGUUGGGCCCAUUCAUGGAACCUAAUGGGACCAAAGCUUCCUUCGUCCCAUAAUGAUCCACCUCUUCUUACUCUGCAACCCCUUCGCCUUUGCUUGUACCACCACUUCUCAACUAUGAGAACAAAGAGGACAUGGUGGACCUUGACGAGAAAGGUGAUGCCGGUAAAGGAUCUCAACAAUAUCAACUUGCCUGCACAAUGCUUGACAUCACCACCAUCUCAUGGAUGGAGAGGACAACUAUAACAGAAACACUGACGCCCAAGCGGGCGAGAGGGUGUGGCACAAAUGUUUUAUUGCUAGUGCCAAUGAGGACCCGAAGUCCCGAACCACAUCUUGGGUGGCUAAUUUAAAUGGUAACCCUCAAAAUUAUGGCCUACCUAUUUCAAUUCCAAUCCAACUUAACAACCAAACACUCAACAUGAAUUGGGACCAUUCCCAUUCCACAAAGUGGGGCUCAAUUCAUGGGACCAAAGCUUCUCCAAUCCCAUAUUGCUCCACCUCUUCUUAGUAUUGCAUUGCCAACCCUUGACUCCAAUAUCCCUUUGCCUCUACUGCCACUUCUCUCAACUAUGAGAAUGAAUACAAGGACAUGGUGGAUCUAGGUGGGAAGUUGAUGCCAACAAAGGAUCUCGGCACUACCAAUUUGGCCACCACAAUGCUUGACAUCACCAUCUCAUAGCUAGAGACACCAACUAUUACAUGAUUUCAGAGACAGGUGGGUGUCAACAAGGAGGUGCAAAUGUUGGCCGUGGCAGCACCAGAAUCACCAAAAAGUGGAGCUUACGGGGCAGAAUGUCAUCAUCACUGAAGACGAGGGCCACAUCUGUGUUGAACAAUUCAGACGAUGACCCCAAAAUUAUGGCCUACAUAUUUUAGUUGUCCAUAAUUCAAACACAUUUCAAGUCCAGUCCAACUUAACAACCAAAGACUCGAAACGAACUAGGCCCAUCAAUUCAAAGUUGGGUCCAAUUCGUGGGACCAAAGCUUCCUUCAUCCCACACUGCCCCACCUCUUCUUACUGUUGCAUUACCAACCCUUGACUCCACUACCCCUCACCUUUGCCUCUACCACCAAUUGAACCUGGAGCAACUGAUCACAGAAUGACAAAUUCAGCAAAGGUAGCAUAAUUAGGCCAAUAUGAGGCUUCAAUUGCAGCAUGGAGGCGUCAACUGACCACUGAUCUAGGUCAAUACUGUUGAAGUGUAUAAAUGGAUUGGCCACCUUCUCCUAUCAGCUUAAGCUUUUGGGUUGAACUGGUUAGUUCGUCCACUCUAACAUGCUAUCAAAGCCAGAGGCCUCGAGUUUGAAUUCUGGCAAAGACUUUAUUUGUGCCUCCACACAUUUAUUUCCAUGUUUGCGCCUUUCUCUCUGGCUGCACGUGAGUGUGGGUGUUGAAGUGUAUAAAUGGAUUGGCCACCUUCUACUAUCAGCUUAAGCUUUUGAGUUGAACUGGUUAGUUCGUUCACUCUAACAAAUAUUGUGUGGUUGCCAACCCCAACACCAAUUACUUUGCAUUUUGCCUAAUGCCUAAUGCAACUAGGGGCAUGUUAAACGCCUGUAUCUACGAACCUUCCCUUCUCAUCAACCGCCUUUAAUUAAGCGAGAUGUUAUCAUGCAUCACAUGAUUGUUUAAAUUGCACUUAAUAAGACAACAAAAUAAAUUAAAUUUGUAAGUGAGAAAAAAAGACAGAAAACAUAUUCCUGACAUGCAAUUAAAUUGGCUUUAACUAGAAGAGAUGCUAUCAUGCAUCAUAUAAUUACUUAUUUAUCCUUCAUACACUAACAAAGUCAUAUUUAUGUUAUAAGUGAAAAAUACUUGUAUAAAACAUUGAAUUAAACCACCUCACAUAUUCUGGAGCUGAGGGAGAUCAAAUUUCCUUGACCAACAAGUAGAAGCUAACAUAACUUUAAGUUAUAACUAAAAUACAAAAUAGCAUGUUGGAUCUAUAGUAUUUACAAAUGUUCCUAAAAGACAUACUUUAUGGACCUCUUGGCAGAAAAAUGCUAGUUCAUAAUAUCAGAAAAACGCAGUGAAAGAUCAAAUCACAACCAUAAAUAGCAAUAGUUAUUAAUCAUUAGCAUCUGUCUAAAAUAGCACAUCCAAAAGGUAAGGGAGCAUAAAGAUUCCUAAAAUAGCACCCCUACUUUAAUGUUCCUAAGUACUCCAAAGCAAUAUGUGGAAUAAAGUUGGUAGUUCUAGAGAGCAGAAGCAUGCAUAUUUCACAUGCAAAAACACAUUCUUGUACAAUCCCCUACUCAAAGCAUGCCAUGCAAAAAAGAAAUAACUCGAUUUUGGAGAAACAGACCCAAAAAAGUACAUUAAACUAUUAAGUCUAACAAAGGAACAAUGAAUAUAGCUAGUAAAAGUUAUUUGCUUUCACAGUACCAGUCAUUAGCAUAUUACAGGCAAAGAAUUUAACAGAAAGUGUAAGUAACCACAUAAACUGCUUAUUCUUGCCUUAUUUAAAUAACAUAACAACUGAUUGAAAUAAACAUGACAAAAUUAAGGUUUGAUCAACUUACGGAGCCAUCCAACGGUAUGUUCCAGUUUCAGGUGUCAUCCCCUCAGUCUUGACUUCAAUCCUAGCCACACCAAAGUCGGCAAUCUUAAUGGACUUAUCACCAGAAAUCAGGAGGUUGUCCGACUUAAGAUCUCUGUGAAUGAACCCAAGGCCAU